UGGUGAAUGCCUUGGCGAUAAGAGGCGAUGAAAGACGUGGCACGCUGCGAAAAGCUGCGGUGAGGUGCGAGCAACCUUUGACCCGCAGAUAUCUGAAUGGGGAAACCCACCCUUCGGGGUAUCCUGUAGUGAAUACAUAGCUGCAGGAGGCAAACCCGGGGAACUGAAACAUCUCAGUACCCGGAGGAAAGGACAUCAAUUGAGACUCCGUUAGUAGUGGCGAGCGAACGCGGAUCAGGCCAGUGCUCUCUCUUAGAUUAUCAGAACCAUCUGGAAAGUUGGGCCGUAGCGGGUGAUAGCCCCGUAUGAAGCGUCAACGAGAGAGACUCGAGUAGGGCGGGACACGUGAAAUCCUGUCUGAAUAUGGGAGGACCAUCUUCCAAGCCUAAGUACUCCUUAUCGACCGAUAGUGAACAAGUACCGUGAGGGAAAGGUGAAAAGCACCCCGACGAGGGGAGUGAAACAGACCCUGAAACCGGAUGCCUACAAGCAGUCGGAGGGCGCAAGCCUGACGGCGUACCUUUUGUAUAAUGGGUCAGCGACUUUGUCUCUCGAGCAAGCUUAAGCCGAUAGGUGUAGGCGCAGCGAAAGCGAGUCUGAAUAGGGCGUCAAGUUCGUUGGAUUAGACCCGAAACCGAGUGAUCUAGCCAUGGCCAGGUUGAAGGUGCGGUAACACGCACUGGAGGACCGAACCCACGCCUGUUGAAAAAGUCGGGGAUGAGCUGUGGCUAGGGGUGAAAGGCCAAUCAAACUCGGAAAUAGCUGGUUCUCCGCGAAAUCUAUUUAGGUAGAGCGUCGGAUGAAUACUCUCGGGGGUAGAGCACUGGAUGGGCUAUGGGGGCUUACCGCCUUACUGAUCCUAACCAAACUCCGAAUACCGAGAAGUACUAUCCGGCAGACACACAGUGGGUGCUAACGUCCAUUGUGGAGAGGGAAACAACCCUGACCGCCAGUUAAGGUCCCUAAGUUAUGGCUAAGUGGGAAAGGAUGUAGAGAUCCCAAAACAACCAGGAUGUUGGCUUAGAAGCAGCCAUCAUUUAAAGAAAGCGUAACAGCUCACUGGUCUA
rnacentral:rRNA from 1 species